AACAUGUUUUCUUUUCUGCUUGAGAUAACUGUUGUUGUUGUGACAUAUUUAUGUCACACUGCUGUUGCCAUAGUGUGCACUUCCUGUGGGUGUGGUAUUACAGUAUAAAAGGAAUCUGAUGUGUCGGUCACACACAUGCUGAGAAGCACACUGAAUAAAGAAGUGUUGUUCCAUUCAAGUCUCGGCCUUACAUGUACUUAGAUUAAGGAAGUACAUAACAAAAGUGGCGACGAGGACGUCUGGACCUGCGUCAGCUCGGACGUGCUGUUUUUAGAGUUUGCUGCGGGUCGCGGUGCUCCAGGGGACAGAAGGCGCAGACCUCAGCUUCCACGUCGUGACUUCGUGGGGAGGAGGACAAGCGGAGAUUUCAAAGGGAGCGUGAAGGUGCUGUAUAACCAGGCGCUAUGGCGGGAGUUAUCGGCUCUGUUGGUCCUUUUGAUGAGCUUGUGGAACAGUGGAGCUCGUACACGGAGCGGUUUGGCUAUUUCAUGGAAGCUAACGAAAUAGUGGAUGAGAAAAUGGUGCCCACGUUUUUGAGCGUUAUUGGGCCAAAUACUUUCAAUUUACUGAGAAACCUGCUUCAACCCGAUAAACCUGGCAGUAAAACAUACAGGGAAAUCGUGGAAACUCUUAAUGGACAUUUUUCACCCAAGCCCCAUGUGAUUGCGGAGAGAUUCCAAUUUCACAGGAGAAAUCGUGAAGAGGGGGAAUCUGUCACUAUGUUCGUAGCAGCGCUGCGGUAGCUGGCUGAACAUUGUGAGUUUGGUGAUGCUUUAGAAGACACAUUAAGAGAGAUUGGUAUGUGAACUGAGAAAUGAAGCAACACAAAAGAAGUUACUGUCAGAAAGUGGACUGACAUUAAAGAAAGCCUUUGAUGUAAGUGUGGCUAUGGAAAUGGCUUCAAAAGGAGGCUCAACAACUGAACAUGACGAACAGAAUACACCAAGUAGCAAGUACCCAAAGCGAUGUUGCUGGUCCGUUUUAGAUGCGGUAAAACAGGGCACCUUUCCUCCACCUGCUGGUGCAAAGAAAUGAACUGUCGUGAUUGUGGGAAGAAGGGUCAUGUUGAGCGUGCCCGUCGGGAAAAAAACAAGCACAGACAAAAAUAAGGAAAUGAAUGACAAGAGGUGCCUUUACUUCCGAAGAUGAAAGUGACGUGCACGCCGUGCAUGUAAUGAGCGUGGACGGGAAGUCAGGGUGUUGCUGGGUCACACCAAAGUUAGAGGGUCACCCAGUCAAAAUGCAAAUAGACACUGGAUCACAGGCAUCGCUUGUGUUUACCAAGUCUAUAAACAGUGUUUGAGACACCUUCCAUUAAGACCGUCAGACACAGUGUUCAAAGCAUACACUGGACACAAAGUGAGCAUGAAAGGAAUGACUGACAUUACUGUGCAAUGCAAUGAUCAAGCUGCUAAACUUUCAGUGUAUGUCACAAAAGGGAAUUUUGCUUCCAUCAUGGGACAACUUUGGAUUAAUACACUGCGUGUAAAUUGGCAAGAAGUUCAGCAGCUGUCAGACUAUUCUUCACAACUACAACUCAUCCUGGAAAAGAAUGAAGAGGUUUUUCGUGAGGAAUUUGGCAGCCUGAAGGACAUUACAGUGAAAUUGCACAUUAAACCAGGAAGCAAACCUGUGUUUAUGAAGGCUAGGACAGUGCCAUAUGUAAUUUGUGACAAAGUCUAGGCUGACCUGGAUGCGUUGGUCAAAAGUGGUGUUUUGGAACCAGUCACCACCAGCGAAUGGGCGACACCAAUUGUGCCAGUUCCGAAAAAGUAUGGCGGAAUUCGCACAUGUGGCGAUUUUAAAGUGACUUUGAAUCCGGUGCUUUGUGUGGAUCAGUACCCACUUCCAUUGAUCGAUGAUUUGUUUGCAGGUCUGAGCGGGGGUAAAAAAUUCAGCAAAAUUGACCUCAACCAAGUUUAUCUGCAGAUGCAUGUGGACAAAGAAUCACGGGAGUGGCUGACAAUUAACACACACAAGGGACUUUUUAGAUAUUGCAGAUUACCCUUUGGCACCACAUCUACUCCUUCUCUGUUUCAACGGGCUAUGGAUCAAAUUUUGAGUGGAUUGCCAGAGUACAUUGUUACUUGGAUGACAUUCUCUGCACCGGUGCCAACGACGAGGAGCAUAGGCAUAGGAGGCUUAGGCAGUAUGGUCUUUGAGUGGGCAAGGAAAAAUGUGAAUUUUUGAGACCAUCGGUGGAGUAUCUCCAGCAUGUGAUAGACCACGAAGGACUACACAAGGCUCCAUCAAAAACAAAGGCAAUUGUGGAUGCACCCGCCCAAGAAAAUGAGUUCCGCUCGAUGUGAAAUGAAAUGACAUGUGGUCUCACUAAGAAGGGAUGGAUUAUGUUGGCCAUGUAACUUAUUUCUAGUUACCACUCAUCAGUUUCUUCGGGAAAUUCAAUCUCCCACAACCACUCGUGUACACUUCAAAACCUGGGAUACAAACAUUUUGGGAGACAGACAUCUGUCCGUGCCCCACCCAAACGAAGAUGUCUCGCACCCCACACAGAAGAGGAUCUCAACAACCUGGAAAAUAUUCAUCUGCUGAAGUGUGAUGCCAGCAUCCAGAGCUCACAGACCACAACUGUUUGCCUCCAGGAGUUACUUUGUUUGAUUCAAUCAUUUUCUGCAGACUGCCAUCAUUUGCUUCAAGUUUCUUUGCAGAAAUCAAGCAUCUGCAUUCUCCACUGAUGUCGCGGUUCCUGCCUUUUGCUCCAGCUGCUCUACCGGGCUAGCUGAUGCCAAGGUACUGGCCUGUUGCUCCGGCUGUUGGUGGUCCACCUGGCUGACUGCUGGCGCUAUAGCUGGCCCCCACCCCGGGUGGUGCUGAACCUGACCACCAGCUGCCACGGUACGUGAACCUGGCUAGCUGCUGCGGCGCUAGCCUCCUGCUGAACCAGGUGUUCUGCCAAAAUGUGUUACAUCGGCGAAACGUCUACAUGAGGCGAAUUUGACACCCUAAGUACUACCCUGCGCUCCCAACUUGUUUUGGUUCAGAUGCGUACAGGCAGAACAUACCAAAAAAAAUCCUUAAUACAUAAAUGUGGUUAUAUCAAAUAAGGAUGGUUUAAAUACACUACGUGAUUAAUGUGGCCAACUGCUUUAAAGCUAAUACCAAAAAGCACAAUGGUUAAAAGUAUGAGAGGGAAAUACAUGCAUAAAGUAUUUCUGCCCGUGAGCAUGAUUGCUGCAGCUGCCCUCAUCACAUCACCGGUUGUUGCUUUUCUGACUCGUUUUGAACAAUCGUCCUUCUUUUUGGGAAAAAAAAAAAAAAAAAGACAGUAAAUGAAACUGUCUUUUUGAAAUUCCAUUUUAUCCUGGCUGCUUGCUCUCCAGAUGCCGCGAAUUUCCAAAAUUUAAAAAAACAUUUUUUUUAUGUCAUACAAGAGAUGCCGAAUCUGCCCAAAUAAUUCCCGGAACACAGGGAGGCCAAAAUCAAGAGGUGCCGUAUGCUGUUCCGGCACGAUCCGGCACAAAUUAACCUCUGGUCUCAUUCCCCACAAUAUUUAGGCGCUAGUUCAUUGUAUAAGUCUUUACAUGCAAAAUGGCUGAAAAACUGAGCACAUUUCUUGACAUUUUUCAUCACUUUUUUUUAAAUCUGUCCUGAAGUGGUAAUUUACUCUCACGUGAAAAUUGACUUCCUCUACUGAAAGACUCCAAAGCAUUUGUAUUUAUUUAUUUCUGGGGGGGUGGGGGUGGGGGGGUUAUAUUUGUAUUUAUUUAUGUUUAUUUUGGCGAUAUUUUUAUUUUACUUUUAUAACUAUGGGUCAAGAAUGGGGAGACAAAUUGUACAAUCAGGGGCGCUAGAAGUCACUAAAGCAGUACUCCAAAAACAGCUGUUUUGGGUCAAAUUUGUGAUGCUCACACUUUUUCUCCAUACAAGGCGUGCACAAUGGCAGUACACACGCAUGCUGGGUUGACGUGCGACUACUAGGCUACUACAAAGACAGUGUUCUAUUUCACCUACAGUGUGUGUUGGAGUUUUUGUAUAGGAAAUAAAAGCACCUGUGUCUUAUAAUGCAAAUCCCUGCAGCAAGAUGGUGUUAUGACACACAAACACAUUUGAAAACUAAAAGGUCCAAUAAACCUCGGUUUAAAACCCACUUUUCACAACACUGAAAUAAAUUGCACACCAAUAGCCAGCAGCCCUCUGCACAACGGCAGCUGAACAGCAACAACAAACAAUAAUAUGGCUACAAUGCAAGCUAUUUUAAGUUCUCCACAGUCUAAAUCUGCAACUUUUCCUUGCUGGGCACAAUUAUCUUCUUCUUCAUCUUCUUUUCCUUUCGGCUUUUCCCUUUAGGGGCCGCCAAAGCGAAUCAGUCAUCUCCAUCUAACCCUGUCAUUUACAUUGUCUGCUCUCACACCCACCUCCUUACCACUAACCCUAAACCCUAACUCUUUAAGUGCAUCUAUAAUAAAACUAUCAUCUUGAAUUUUAUAAAACCUCGCUGUUUUGUUAAGAAAAAAAAAAAAAAAAAAAAAAAAAAAAAAAAAAAAAAAUCGCAACAGUAAUUUGUUUUUGCGCCAUGAUAACUUCUCUGUGAACAGUUAACUUUUCUGUUUCAAUUGCACCUUAUCCAACGUGACUUGGUAGCAAGCAAGCUGUCAAGUGCUGACCAUGUUAUUUAAAAAAAAAAAAAACUUUCAACAUAUAUAUUUCAUCCUCAAAAUUAAAUACGCUAUUGUUUCAAUGUUUUAUUUUUUUAUUUAAAAAAAAUCUACCAAAACACUUUUUCUCCCAAACAAUAGGGGUGCUGCAGCGACCUCAGCACCCCCCUUCAUAAUGGUAGCAUUUUAAUGUGAAGUCAUUUUUUGAAUGAAUUUGUAGAAUUGUACCUCCAAAACCAAAAUGACAUGACACGCCAGAUUAUAGCAAAAGAGAUGCUGCUAUAAGAAUUCAAUGGACCUGAAACAUACUAUGCACUUGAACUAAUCAAAUGGCUUCAUUCCAAAUCCACCAAAUUUUGCCCAAAGUAGAUCAAAUUUGAUCAAGGCAUUUUGCCUCUCUUUGAAAACAACCUUCACCUGACAGCGUCCGCGUGGUGCGCUUCCAUGGCGGCGUGGCGCUCAUCGGCCUCUCGGACCAGCCGGAGGUUGCGGCGCUCCGCCCUCUCUAGGUCAGUUUUGGCUUGAUCACGCUCGCCGUGGGCCUGCUCGGCAAGGGCCCUAAGAUACAAGCGCAGUGAGCGAGCGGCGGCACGGACGAGCGAAGAAUGAGGGGGCACUCACCGCAGGUGGUAAAGCUCGUCCUUGUAGCUGACAAGCGCCGCCAGGCGGAUUGGACGACUGCCAUCGCCACCGGCCAGAAGUGCCUCAUCCAGGGCCGCCGUCAGAUCGGAUAAACUCAGUGGCUCGUCGGCGGAAAAUUCCAGCAUCUGCGAAGGGAGCACAGAUUGCUGUAAGCAAUUAAUUUCUGAAGGAAUUUCCAGCCAGAAUUUCCUUCCUUGAUCCUUUUUUUUACGUUGACAGAAGAACAGUCAUCUCAUCUUGAAAAGAAUAGCUUUUAUUGUCACUUCCUUGUUAAUAUUAGGUAUUUACAGAGCACUUCUUGUCGAUUGUGGGUCUAUUCCUGUACAUUUUUGAUCAUUUGCCGUUUUUUUUAAACUGGGUGUUUAAGGGUCGCUUUCUGUUGAUUUGGGGUCAUUCCCUGGUUGAAUUGUGGGCAUUUUGGAGUUAUUUCCUUUUGUUAUCAGUAUUUGUGGGUCACUUCCUGUUGAUUUUGGGUCAAUUCCCUGUACAUUUUGGGGCAAUCUUGGGUCACUUCCUGGUCAUUUUGGAUCCUUCCCCGUUGAUUUUAUGUGUCACAUUCUAUCCUGUUGAUUUUAGGGCAUUUCACUUCCUGGUAAUUGGCCACUUCUUAUUGAUUUGGAGCCAUUUUGGGGGUCAGUUACCGUUUUGUAUUGGGUCACUUCCUGUUGAUUUGGGGCAUUUCGGGGUUACUUCCUGUUGAUAUCAGGAAUACAGAGCUUUAAUAGUCAUUGUAACAGACAUGACAAUGAAAUUACGUUCGAUGACCACACCACAAACUUUCUCUUCUUCAGAAAUGACAGAGCAGUUGCAAGUUACAGUAAACACACAUCAUACAACAUAGCAUGGAUAUGAAACGACGCACAGGUCACGUGCAGGAUUUUUUUAUACGACAACAAGGAACUUCCCAGUCACGAUUGGUAGGAGGAAAAGUGAUAGUUGAAGGGCAUGAAAGCAAGGGUGUGUGGAUGCGUGACUGUGUGUAUGCAUAUCAGUAUUUGUGUGUGCAUGCAGGUAAAAUAAGAGUCACAGAACUCUGCUACCGCUCUUGGGAGGAGAGAUCAAGGGCAUGAGAUAAGGACAUCUGCAUGGCUCUCCCAGGAGAUAGGGAAUGGAAAAAUUAUAAUCAAUUAAGCCAAAUCAAAAAUGUAAUAUAUCCAAAUACAGUUGGUCGUCAGUCAAAAUCGCGCUCAUCAAGGCGAAGACGAGACCUCUGUUUCCUCAACUCAUUGCCAACAGUCACUGUCUGCCUCAACAGUUCCGUCAUUUGGCACCAGAUGACGUCCACCUUUCUCCAUCCUUCCUCGGACUGAACCGUGUUUGAUCCGUGGACAAUUUGUCAAUUUCCUUGAAAAUUGCAGUCUCGGAAACUUUCCAGUACAGCAGGACCUCCGUAGCCAGGCAGAAGAAACCCCACGACAGUCACGCCAAACAGUCAAGUAUCCUCGAUAUCUUCCUCGGAUAGGACAGUAAGACUGGCUUCCAGUGGUCCCAUGAUUCCCUCACGAAACCCGCCGCAAAGGUCCCAUCUGGGCAGGACGGCUCUCCUGGGGCGCCGGUGUCUUGUUGAAAAAAAAUCUUGCCAAUAAUCACUGAAGGACCAACUAAUAAAAUCCAUAUUUUCAAGUUGAGAGUUAGCAGCAGUUGGUCCACAGAGGUAAAAUACAAAAACAGCUGACAGACUAGGCUACAAGUUAGCAGAUAGCAGAGCGCAGGAGAGAACACGUGCGCCCCCGAAGAAGGCAGGAAGAAGCAAGUAACUUCCUAUUGAUUUUGCUAGCCUGUUGCUAAUCAGUAGGUAUAGUACGGCACAAUUAUGUCAACGCAUAAAUGCAAGUGUUACGAGUUUUUUGUUCAUUUGUUUACAGGUUUAAAAGGCUGUUAGGCAAGGGAAGACAGGUUGAUGUGCCUCACAACAAAACUUACAGUACGUUGAUGGACAUAUAAUUUGUAAGAUGUGCUCUAAUGCUUUUGCGUGCUAAGGUUAAUAAUGUGUGUUUAAAACUAAUAGUAAUAACUACAGUCUUAAAAUAUCGUAGGAAAGCGGGUCGUGGAACCGUUAAAAGAUCAAAAGUGACAAAAAUUCAGCCUAGAACCGGAGAUAAAAACUUGAGUAAACGAAAAAUUAACAAAAUCGAACUUACAAAGUCCGUGCACGGCAACAAAUAAUGAAACAUUCGGCGCAGACAGAAUAACGAUUGAAAAUUCAAAAUAAUUCGCAAAGAAUAACUAGAAUAAAAACUAAACGUAACAUCGCGCGUGUAAAACAAAAUAAAACACGUCUAAAAAUGGGAAAAAAAUCAAGCGUAAACAAAUAAGAGGACACCCUGACGUGGUGUUUAUGCAAGAACAAUUCCCAGGAAGCUGUUGUUACCUGGAAGCGUGGGUUAGAGAUCAUGACUUUAACCCAACGUUGAAAGAAGUGGAGAAUGUGGGAACAUUGAAGGCAAAAGUGAAGUGCAAAGAAAGAAUAGAAGACGAGCUCAAAGUCCUCUCCGUGUGGGAAACUCAAAGUAAAAAAAAAGGUCUGAGCAAAGUGAACGAGAAGGCGAAGAGAAAGCAAGCACAAAAAGAAAGAGGAAGUGCACUAGUCAUGUCCAUAGUGAUAAUUGGUGAAUUGUGAUGUUGAAGGUUUGAGUAAGUUGUAUUGAGGACAGAGGUAACCGUAAGUCUAAGUAAAGAUGGGUGGCGAAUGUGUUUGGUUGUUUGGUGGACGUCUGAAGUGGAAAAGAGGAGCUGUGACAGUAGGGCUUGGAAAGUUUUAGGCGUGUGAGACAAGCGUCGAUAAGCGAGGGAAUUGUUUGUGAAUAGCUGACCGUUUAUUGUGCAAAAUCGGAAAAACCUAGAAGUUUUUCAACAUGAGGAGUGCGGCCCUUCGGUGGCCCCUAUUUGCAGCAUGGGGUCCUCGACGGCAUCCGCUGGGUUUUUGCCCAAAUUAUAAGGGAAGGUUGUAAUUGCAGCUGGGAAUAUUCCAGCCUUUCCCUUGUACUAUUUAGGAUAUGAAUUUUAAAAUGGAAUCUCAUUAGAGAUAAAAAAUAGAUUAUUGAGCUAAAUUGAAACUUAUAGAACACUCUUAAAAGAAAAUAAGAGAAUGGCUAAAAGAGAAAGAAAAUAGUUAAUGUUUUGAAAAAGAUCAACUGUUGAUAAAUAGCUGUUUGAAAACAAACAGAUUUAUUUUAAGCAAAGAGCUAGUAUGUUUGAUAAAAAGAAAAUCAGAUUGUUAGAAAGGUUCUUCAUUCAAGAAUAGAUAUUGUUCAUAAUAUUAUUUGAAAGUAAAUUCUUCUGAAUUCAGGUGAAAAAAUGACCAACUUUUAGAUGUAUUGAGCUAAGAACAAAUAAUUAUAUUUACUCCAAGUAAGUAGAGUAAUCUGACGUAUUAAUCUUUGAACUAGUCUUUAACAUUCAAAGUAAGAUGGAGAAAAUUAUUCGGCUAGAUUUAAGAGAAUUGAUCUUAGUGAGACAUUAUUAAAUUUACAAUGAAGAAGGUGAUUCAGAAAUAGAAAAAUGUACUCGUUAUUGGCAGAUUUAAAGAGAAAAGGAAUCACACAUAAUGACAUAAUAAAUAGAUUGACUAAAUUAGAUUUUGAAGUACAUGGCAAAAUACAGUAAGAACUGUCAAAAGACUUCCCAUUAGUUCUUGGGAGUGAUAAUAGAUAUCAAUACAAGUCUUAUAGAUAAAGAGAGGUCCAAAUGUUGAUUAGCAAACUCCUGUUGAGGAAGGAGCAGCGGUUUGGCAUAUGUCACAAAAUAAAUAAAUAUUAACAGCUGAUGAAAAAUCAGUUUUAGCAGACGAUAGAGCAAUUUUAAACUGCCACUUUUUAAGAAUGGCAGAAAUAGUCUAAACUAGGGAGAUAAGUUGUUCCAGGGAGUGUAUAAAUAAAAACAACAAAUUAGGAGUUGGGAUUAAAAAACGUUCUAAAAUUCACACGGAAAGUAGAUAAUUCUACCAACCUGGAGUGACAUACGAAUGGAUGUUUUUUAGUGCACGAAAAAACAUUCUUUGUUCUCCUCUGGACUGCUGAAUUAUCCUCCAUUAUAAAUUACAUGGAUAUCAGUUGAAAAUGAUUGGAAUUAAAAAUUGAAUUGAAUGCUAUAAGAGGUAGUGUUUUAAGUGUUAAAGAAUAGCAGAGAAGUCAUAGUGGAAUAAAAAAGAUUGCUUAAAAGAGUAUUGCCGUCCCUCAAUACUCUCCCAUGCAAAUGAAAACUUUGCCUGGGUAAAAAAAAGUCAGAUUUUGACUUAUGUGGACUACAAACUUUGAUAUGGAAAAUUGAAAUUUGAAAUAGAAAUUUAAAUUGAUUACAAAAUUUACCCAAAGAUACCCUAGGCCUAUUGAGAUACUGUAUUUGACUAAAAACAAUUAAUUGAAUAGAUUAUAAUUGUGUCGUGGAAUCGUAAUUUUUGGAUUACAUGUUGAUGAAUCUUCAACAGUGACCCAAAGAAGGUGAAAAGACAUUUUGUCAGCUCUAAAGAAAUUCCAAAACAAAGACAAAUUCCUAUUUUGUAAUCUUGAGUGGAACAUUGCGCGAUAUAUUAAUGCCACUGCAAAACUCAAUUUACUGAUUAAAAUGGGAGCUGACAAAAAUUGAUCAUAAGCAAAUAUUGGCAUUUGCCAAGAGGAAAUUAUUAUACUGGGAGAAUUGUAACUCUGUAAUUUUGGGUUGAUUGCGGAACGUAAACUGUUUUUGAUACGGUAAUAGUAACGGUAACACAAGUUAAAACAAUUACUGGAUGUACUCAAACUACCGAAUGCGCUAGUCAUUUGUAAAUGUGAAGCCCAAAUUAAUGGCCUUGAUAACGUGUCAAUCGGGAACAGGCUAGCAGAUGAAGCAGCCAAGAUAGCGGUUGUAAAUCAACGCAAUAAAGCAAAAAUGGGCGAUGAAAGGUUUCUACCAAAAUCAUUGAUCAAAUGGGCAGCUGAAUUGAGCCACACGAUUGUCAAGUGUCUACAGGGGGGAGGACUGAGUUGGUUAAUAGACACUAUGAUAAUGUAUGGCUUCAAUUCAAUUCAAUUCAUACUUACAAAUUUUUUUCAAACAGUGUUUACUUUGCAUAAACAAUGUUAAGAGAGACCAAAAAGAGGGAGGUUCCCAGAACCACCUGAACUAUUUCAUACAUUGCACAUGGAUUAUAUUGAGUUGAAUAGAGUGUUGGGGAAAAGAUAUUCCCUGGGGAAAAAUAGAUGUAUUUUCUAGAUGAGUUAAGAUUUUUCCUAAGCGCACAUGAGGAUGAAAAACCAGUAAUUAAUGAACAGAUUGAUGCAGAAGGAAAGAACUUGCCACUUUUUAGACUUCCAGAUUUAAACCCAGGACCUGUUAAAGGUUCUGGCAGCAUUGCAGCUCACAUAAAGAAACAGUUUGAUCCAAGACAAGUUUGCGACAACAAUGAUCUGCCAGAAUGUUCUGAUCCACAGACUCUCAAGGUGCGGGUCGGAGACUUGGUCUUCCGGAAAGUGUUGCAGCGUGCCAGGUGGGACAGUGAACGCUGGGACAGUCCUUACGAGAUGGUGGGCUUCAGCCAGACUGCAGUGAAAGUCUACGGAUGCACUGGGUGAAUUCGUCAGUCCCAGUGCACGCUCUUCCGGUUGCCAGAAGGACCCAGCGACGCCAGUCCACCAGACCCUGAUUCCUAAAGUCCCGACCUCACCUAAAGUCAUCAAGAGCGGUGGAGGGUUUUCCGCCCUGCUGGCAGCCCGUCCGCUCCUACGAAAGACCUCCCGUCAUUGGAUGGAAGAGUCUACUUCGCAUUUUCAAACGCCUACUCUCCACUGUGGACCAAAAGGUCAGCACCAUGUUUGUCGCCUACUCAGCCAAAUACGACCUUGUGUCACAGCUCCCGCUAGAAGAACCAGAUACUGAUUUGGACAGUGACGAUACGGACACUAAUGUCUAAAGCAGAUUCCCCACGUCGGCCAUCCCGACUCUGCAACCCUAUGGACUCUCGAUAAAAAACACCGACGCGGCGAUCAUAAAUCGCUGAAAUAUGGCGUUCAAAAGAGUUCCAGAUUGUAUACACAUUUACCAAAUGUUGUGUUGAAUUGUGUGUUUUCCAUGGAGCCAUGGCAUGAAGCUGCUCUCGUCCCUAGCGCAAAUGGGGAGGGAAUAGGGGAAUUUUGUCCUUAAUGUUAAGGUUUUUUCGCCCCUAUCGUGGCAUUUUAUAACUCCUGCUAAUGGAUAAUUGACGGGUCAGACACCAACCCCACUCUCGAGAAUGUCUAACUCUGAUGAAAGCUGAAACGUUUUAAACCCCCAACAGGAGGGAAAUGUAAGAUGUGCUCUAAUGCUUUUGCGUGCUAAGGUUAAUAAUGUGUGUUUAAAACUAAUGGUUAUAACUACAGUCCUACUUAACAGUCUUAUGGCCUUACAAAACAAAGAAUGCGUAAGGGCACAUCUAACUGAAGGACAGAUGUCAGCAUGACCCAGAGGGGCACAUUUCCUGUUUUAGGUUUCUAUUGCUGACCAUAAAGUUUCAACACAAUGAGACAAGACAAAUAACUGCCCGCGCCCAACUCUCAAGAUAACAGCUAUUUCUCAAGAUGUGAAACUCACACAUGUAUGUUGAAACUCUCCCACUUUGCCAAUAAAAGCAGCGACCCUAGGUAGGGGGCUGAGAGAGAAUCACUGACUUUGCGAGUAAAGCGUCAGUCCUCUCCCUGGCGGCCGCCGGUGAAAAUUUUAUCGCUGUCUCAAGUCUGAUUCUUCCUCCGUCCCUUCCUAGGUCUUUGUUGUUUUCUUAGUUCUAGUAUUAAGUUUAGACCUAACAUAAUUGAUACUACGUUAUACGCGCGUUCUACCCGAGAGGCUGGGGCUGGGACAGACAGUGGCUCGCCUCGCGGCGGACCGUCAACUAGAUCCAGAGAUCCAACUACAAGCUUUUUAACUGCAGCAACUUUAAGAUAAUCUAUUGGAGCUGGAAUUGCAGAGGACAGCGGGUGAAAGCCCGUCUGGAGGCCGCCGAGGGUUAUCAUAAUGUUGGGUGAAAGUUUGGCGAGCUCUGCUGUCUGAUAACACAUUCUCGUAUGCUCAACCUUCAUUCAUAUUUUUCUAAUAAUCUGACCUGUUUUGCACAUGCACCACUCGUUUUAAAUAAGA